rnacentral:rRNA from 1 species
AUCCUACGGGAGGCAGCAGUGGGGAAUAUUGCACAAUGGGGGAAACCCUGAUGCAGCAACGCCGCGUGAGUGAAGAAGUCAUUCGUGAUGUAAAGCUCUAUCAGCAGGGAAGAAAAUGACGGUACCUGAGUAAGAAGCCCCGGCUAACUACGUGCCAGCAGCCGCGGUAAUACGUAGGGGGCAAGCGUUAUCCGGAUUUACUGGGUGUAAAGGGAGCGUAGACGGCAUAGCAAGUCUGAAGUGAAAGCCCGUGGCUCAACCGCGGCACUGCUUUGGAAACUGUUAAGCUGGAGUACUGGAGAGGG